rnacentral:ncRNA from 1 species
AUAAAAACAUUGAAGGUGAAAAGUACAUGAUUAUUUGGCUUCUAGAGAAGGGUUUUCAUUGGCUGAAAAAAAUCCUAGUUCAAAAUCAUGGAAAGCUACACUGGAGUGCGAUUAAUACUCGCCGGUUUCAUACCGUUAUGAUGAUCUAAGUGAUGAACGAAAAAUUAGUUCAUAAAUAGGGUGGUACCGCGAAAAUCUCGUCCCUGCA